rnacentral:rRNA from 1 species
GACGAACGCUGGCGGCGUGCCUAACACAUGCAAGUCGAACGAGGUCCAUGCAGUGGCAACACUGCGGAAGACCUAGUGGCGAACGGGUGAGUAACACGUGAGGAACCUGCCCCGAAGACCGGGAUAACCCUCCGAAAGGAGAGCUAAUACCGGAUACCCCCACCUGGUCGCAUGGCCGGGUGAGGAAAUGGAUUCCGCUUCGGGAGGGCCUCGCGGCCUAUCAGCUAGUUGGUGAGGUAACGGCUCACCAAGGCAUCGACGGGUAGCUGGUCUGAGAGGACGAUCAGCCACACUGGGACUGAGACACGGCCCAGACUCCUACGGGAGGCAGCAGUGGGGGAAUCUUGCGCAAUGGGCGAAAGCCUGACGCAGCAACGCCGCGUGGGGGAUGAAGGCUCUCGGGUUGUAAACCCCUUUCAGCAGGGACGAAAUUGACGGUACCUGCAGAAGAAGCCCCGGCUAACUACGUG